CGACCCCAGGUCAGGCGGGACUA
rnacentral:rRNA from 1 species